CUUUGAGCUAACCCUAAAUAU
ensembl:piRNA 21ur-6166 ncRNA